rnacentral:rRNA from 1 species
GAGGAAGACGACGCCGAAAACGGGCGCGUGGGUUCGCAAGACCCCAAAGACGACACGUCUACUUCGAUCACAGACCCAAUUGGGCCAGCCAGGCACGCUCUACGCCUGGCUAGCCAACCGAAUUGCUUGACGAACAUAGAGCAUUGGAACCACCUGAUCCCUUCCCGAACUCAGAAGUGAAACGAUGCAUCGCCGAUGGUAGUGUGGGGCUUCCCCAUGUGAGAGUAGGUCAUCGUCAAGC